UACAGAGGUCUCAAGCGUUGUUCGGAUUCAUUGGGCGUAAAGGGUGUGUAGGUGGCGCGCUAAGUCGGGGUGUGAAAUUUCGGAGCUUAACUCCGAAACUGCAUUCGAUACUGGCGUGCUUGAGGACUGGAGAGGAGACUGGAAUUUACGGUGUAGCGGUGAAAAUGCGUAGAUAUCGUAAGGAAGACCAGUGGCGAAGGCGGGUCUCUGGACAGU
rnacentral:rRNA from 1 species